rnacentral:rRNA from 1 species
CCCGUUCCCAUUCCGAACACGGCAGUUAAGCUCUUCAGCGCCGAUGGUAGUUGGGGGUUUCCCCCUGUGAGAGUAGGACGCCGCCA